rnacentral:lncRNA from 1 species
AUAUUUAAAAGAAAGCCUAAAGUUAACAAUUACAAUAAUAGGAAAUCAAUAUAUAUAAAAUAUAAAUAAUUUAAUAUAAAUUAUAUAAUAUUUAAAAAACAUUAAGCUAAAUUAAUAAGGAUUAAAUUGGAUUUAAAACUAAAUUAGAAGGAAAAUAUGUAAAUAAAAUAAAAUUGAGGGCCAAAAUGCAACGCGUGGAUAACAUGGGGAACUAAAUGGGAAAUAUUCCCUACCCCUCCAAAACGCGGCGCUGCAACCUAGGCUAAAAUGAAACAAAAACCAACUGCGGGGCCAAAAUAAAAAAAAUAAAAAAAAAUCAAAUUGAAUCUGUUACGAAAGCGAGGGGACUGAAACCAUAAAUUACCCAUUUAGACCUCAAAAACACGCGGAUCUCUUUCGAAUCGAGUCGGGUCGGCGCUGGUCAGGGCUAAUACGGCGUCAUUUCAGCACCUAUGAGCCCCUGCUCAUAACGGUACCAUAUGGUACCACUAUUUGAAUCAAUUUUUCCCAAAAAAAAAACAUUUGCAGCCCUAAAAAAUAAAAAUAAAAAACUAAAUGUUUCUCUGCUAGGGUUUCGGCCCUAGCUUCUACGCCACCUUGAAACCCCGCCAAUCUUAGCCUUACAGUCCCCG